AGAGUUUGAUCCUGGCUCAGGACGAACGCUGGCGGCGUGCUUAACACAUGCAAGUCAAGGGGAAAGUUUCUCUCGGGAGACGAGUAUACUGGCGGACGGGUGAGUAACGCGUAGGCGACCUGCCCUCAGGUUUGGGAUAACACUGCUAACGCGGUGCUAAUACCGGAUAUGACUUAUCGGCCGCAUGGCUGAUGAGUUAAAGCGGGCGCAAGCUCGUGCCUGAGGAUGGACCUGCGUCCCAUUAGCUGGUUGGUGAGGUAACGGCUCACCAAGGCGUCGAUGGGUAGCCGACCUGAGAGGGUGAACGGCCACACUGGGACUGAGAUACGGCCCAGACUCCUACGGGAGGCAGCAGUGAGGAAUAUUGCGCAAUGGGCGAAAGCCUGACGCAGCAACGCCGCGUGUAGGAUGAAGCUCUUAGGAGUGUAAACUACUGUUUGAAGGGAAGAAUGAUCACAUUUCGAAUAGGGAUGUGAGAUGACGGUACCUUCAGAGGAAGCCCCGGCUAACUCCGUGCCAGCAGCCGCGGUAAUACGGGGGGGGCAAGCGUUGUCCGGAAUUAUUGGGCGUAAAGGGCGCGCAGGCGGGAAUUUAAGUCUGAGGUGAAAGUUUGCGGCUUAACCGUAGAAUAGCCUUGGAUACUGGAUUUCUUGAGUGCGGGAGAGGAAAGCGGAAUUCCUGGUGUAGCGGUGAAAUGCGUAGAUAUCAGGAAGAACACCGGUGGCGAAGGCGGCUUUCUGGCCCGUAACUGACGCUGAGGCGCGAAAGCGUGGGUAGCAAACAGGAUUAGAUACCCUGGUAGUCCACGCAGUAAACGAUGGAUACUAGGUGUCGGCCUUUCGGGGUCGGCGCCGGAGCAAACGCAUUAAGUAUCCCGCCUGGGGAGUACGACCGCAAGGUUGAAACUCAAAGGAAUUGACGGGGGCCCGCACAAGCGGUGGAGCAUGUGGUUUAAUUCGAUGCAACGCGAAGAACCUUACCUGGGCUUGAACUGCAGGAGAAGUUUCGUGAAAGCGGAACGUCCUUCGGGACUGCUGUAGAGGUGCUGCAUGGCUGUCGUCAGCUCGUGUCGUGAGAUGUUGGGUUAAGUCCCGCAACGAGCGCAACCCUUGUUCUUAGUUGCCAACGCGUAACGGCGGGAACUCUAGGAAGACUGCCCCGGCGAACGGGGAGGAAGGUGGGGACGACGUCAAGUCAUCAUGGCCCUUACGUCCAGGGCUACACACGUGCUACAAUGGCCGGUACAACGGGCAGCAAAGCUGUAAAGUUGAGCGAAUCCCUUAAAACCGGUCUCAGUUCGGAUUGCAGUCUGCAACUUGGCUGCAUGAAGUUGGAAUCGCUAGUAAUCGCGGAUCAGCAUGCCGCGGUGAAUACGUUCCCGGGCCUUGUACACACCGCCCGUCACGCCAUGGAAGUCGGUAGCGCCCGAAGCCGGCGGCCCAAUCCUGUAAAGGAAGGGAGCCGUCCAAGGCGAGAUCGAUGACUGGGGCGAAGUCGGAACAAGGUA
rnacentral:rRNA from 1 species